GACGAACGCUGGCGGCGUGCUUAACACAUGCAAGUCGAACGGAAAGGCCCUGCUUUUGUGGGGUGCUCGAGUGGCGAACGGGUGAGUAACACGUGAGUAACCUGCCCUUGACUUUGGGAUAACUUCAGGAAACUGGGGCUAAUACCGGAUAGGAGCUCCUGCUGCAUGGUGGGGGUUGGAAAGUUUCGGCGGUUGGGGAUGGACUCGCGGCUUAUCAGCUUGUUGGUGGGGUAGUGGCUUACCAAGGCUUUGACGGGUAGCCGGCCUGAGAGGGUGACCGGCCACAUGGGGACUGAGAUACGGCCCAGACUCCUACGGGAGGCAGAAGUGGGGAAUAUUGCACAAUGGGCGGAAGCCUGAUGCAGCAACGCCGCGUGCGGGAUGACGGCCUUCGGGUUGUAAACCGCUUUCGCCUGGGACGAAGCGUGAGUGACGGUAAUGGGUAAAGAAGCACCGGCGAACUACG
rnacentral:rRNA from 1 species